rnacentral:pre_miRNA from 1 species
AAAUUGCCCCAUAAGUUUUGCAACUAUAGCAGUUUUGGCCUCCAAGGUCAAUUUUUGGUAGAAAAAAAAUAACACGUGGCACCUCAUUUAAGGUGCCACAUCAGCGUUGACCAAGUCAAAAUUGGCAUUGGGGGCCAAAACUGCCACAAAUGCAAAACUUAGGAGGCGGUUU